UCCCAUACCGAACACGGAAGUUAAGCUCUUCAGCGCCGAUGGUAGUUGGGGGUUUCCCCCUGUGAGAGUAGGACGCCGCCAAGC
rnacentral:rRNA from 1 species